UACGGGGGGGCAAGGCGUUGUUCGGAAUUACUGGGCGUAAAGGGCUCGUAGGCGGCCAACUAAGUCAGACGUGAAAUCCCUCGGCUUAACCGGGGAACUGCAUCUGAUACUGGAUGGCUUGAGUUCGGGGAGAGGGAUGCGGAAUUCCAGGUGUAGCGGUGAAAUGCGUAGAUAUCUGGAGGAACACCGGUGGCGAAGGCGGCAUCCUGGACCGACACUGACGCUGAGGAGCGAAAGCCAGGGGAGCAAACGGG
rnacentral:rRNA from 1 species